rnacentral:rRNA from 1 species
GAUGAACGCUGGCGGCGUGCUUAACACAUGCAAGUCGAACGGAGAAAGGGUAGCUUGCUAUCUUUUCUUAGUGGCGGACGGGUGAGUAACGCGUGGGUAACCUGCCCUUUGCAGGGGGAUAACAGUAAGAAAUCACUGCUAAUACCGCAUACCAACUUCUUUCGCAUGAAGGAAGUUUGAAAGAUUUAUCGGCAAAGGAUGGACCCGCGUUGGAUUAGCUAGUUGGUGAGAUAACAGCCCACCAAGGCAACGAUCCAUAGCCGGCCUGAGAGGGUGAACGGCCACACUGGGACUGAGACACGGCCCAGACUCCUACGGGAGGCAGCAGUGGGGAAUAUUGCACAAUGGGCGAAAGCCUGAUGCAGCGACGCCGCGUGAAGGAUGAAGGUCUUCGGAUUGUAAACUUCUAUCAGCAGGGAAGAAAGGGCCUAUGGCCUAUGACGGUACCUGACUAAGAAGCCCCGGCUAACUACGUGCCAGCAGCCGCGGUAAAAGUC